rnacentral:lncRNA from 1 species
GGGUGCCUUUGGUUUGCGCUAUCUUUUUAAGAUUCCUAGUAAUCCAAUAGGAAUAAAAAAAUAUAACGGUAUUUGGCUAAACGCACUAAGUAAUCUAGUUGGUAAUAUUGGAUUUACUUGGGAAUUAGAUUCAUCCCAAAGUACUAAUCUCAUUCCCUUGAGAGCGGGUGGGUAUCUUCAUAUUAAUGAAUUGGAAUAAUCACAAUAUGUCUAAUUUCUUUCUUUCUCCCUACCCGUCGGAUAGUUGGUAUUAUUUUUCUUUACACUCUAACCUCAUAUCUCUCUCUAAACUUAUCUUAAUUAUCUCUCUAAACUUCAACUCUUUUUCUCUCUAUAAACUAAGCUCUCUCUCCCCUCUUUUUCUAAAAUCUCAACUCUCUCACUUCCUCUAAUUUCGAAUCUAUUUUUCAUCCUAUUUCUUUAAUUAUGCUCUCUCUCUCUCUAACCUAUGUUCUCUCCCUUUUAAAAAAAAAAGAUGUUGAAAUUAGAGGAAGUGAGAGAGUUGAGAUUUUAGAAAAAGAGGGGAGAGAGAGCUUAGUUUAGAAAGNUCUAUUUUUCAUCCUAUUUCUUUAAUUAUGCUCUCUCUCUCUCUAACCUAUGUUCUCUCCCUUUUAAAAAAAAAAGAUGUUGAAAUUUUUUGUAGCAUUAUCUAAAAUUAAUUAAAGAAUUAAAUAAAUUAAUUGUAUAUUUUUUGUAAUCUUAAAUAACAUGAGUAAAUAAUAUGAUUGUGCGAACCAAAUACAGGAAUGUCACAAUCUUAGUAAUAGGAUGAAUAAUAAUAAGAUUCUAAGACAUCUUUUUACUCUUAGUAAUCUUUCAUAGUGUGAACCAAACGGACCCUUAAGGUAAGAAAACCAAAGCCUAACUC